rnacentral:lncRNA from 10 species
CCCAUCCCCAGAACACUGCCAGCCAAACUAGCUGCCGGUGGCUGGAGCCCUGUCCUCCGAAUGGAUGAGAGGCAGCUACCCGCCAAGGCUUCAGGUGACAUCACAAGAAAUGGCGCGGAUCCUUAUUGCCCUGUGCCUUGGCUUCCGCAUCAGCGAACUCCGCCUUCGGUCUUCCAGGCGGCCCGUACUGCUUAGUCGGUAGCAGUGGCCCCACCAGCCCAGCCCCACAGUCCCUGGGUCUCCAGUCUUUCGCUCCUAACAACCCUAUCUGCGCUGUGGCGCUCGGGCCCAACUCCUCACCCGGAUGCAGUGGGUUAGGGGUUGGGGGAACAGACUGACUUGAGCUCGGAGUCCUGAGCCCACACCUUCCAGGCCAGGGUCAGUCCAAGGCAGUCCAAGUUUGGAGAUCCAGUCCCUUCUCCGUUUCCAGAUCUGCGAAAUUCAGUAAAGCUAUACCCAGGUGACCAGUACGGGCCACGCUGCACUGAGAAUGCAGAGAAUCAUGAGAGCCACUCUCCUUCCUCGCGCCCAGAUCCCAACAGCCACCAGAACACUGCGGAUCCCACUCUCUGCUCCCCAACGAGUUACCUUGGCAAGUCAAGACCCCAGCCAUUGUCGUCACCAGGGGAGAGAGGCAGAGGGAGAUUUGGCUACAAAAAAAAAAGAAGACAAUGUGAUCUUGAAUCAGGAUGCUACGCUGGUGACUUUGAAAACGGGAGGAGGAGGCCGGGCGCGGUGCCUCACGCCUGUAAUCCCAGCACUUUGGGAGGCCGAGGCGGGCUGAUCACGAGGUCAGGAGAUCGAGACCAUCCUGGCUAGUACGGUGAAACCCCGUCUUUACUAAAAGUACAAAAAAUUAGCCGAGCGUGGUGGCGGGUGCCUGUAAUCCCAGCUACGGGAGGCUGAGGCAGGAGAAUGGCGUGAACCCGGGAGGCGGAGCUUGCAGUGAGCCGAGAUGGCGCCACUGCACUCCAGCCUGGGUGACAGAGCGAGACUCUGUCUCAAAAAAAAAAAAAAGAAAAAAAAGAAAAGAAAAGAAAAGAAAAGAAAAGAAAAGAAAGAAAGAAAAUGGGAGGGGGAGCUAUGAGCCAAGGAAUGUCCCUGUAGAACCUGGGAAGGCCAAGGAAAGCUGCUUCUCCUCUGGUGCUUCUGGAGGGUGUCAGACACCCUGUUUGACAUUUUCAUUUUGGUCCACCGAAACUGAUUGCAGAUUUCUGACCCCUAGACCUGUAAGGGAAUAAAGACAUAUUGUUUUAAGCACCAGACCUGGGUUUAAGAGAGCUUGAGUUGAGUUUAGUGAAACAAAUUACCCAAGCUGAAGUAGAGAGCGAGAGAGGGAGAGAGAGAGACCCAUAAGGAGAUAUUUCUGCCCAGUUUCCAUUUCGCGUGGGUGGCACACGUGACAACCACUGCAUUACAAAAACCACCGUUCACCCAGGAGCUAUCUUUAAAAUUUAAAAUGGACAUUUCCUGAAUGGCUCACGUUCAGUAUUGUGAAAUUAUUGUUUCUUUUAGAGCAUUUUCAUAUUUGUGGCCCUUUUUUUCUUUCCUUAUAUAUUCCAUUCACCAAAACCAACAAUACCCAAAAUCCAUGAUUCAAGACCAAGGAAGGCUUUCGCCCAGUGACCCACAUCCUCAUAAAUACCAUGUCAUCAUGUCAGGAAAUUUCAGGCAGAAUAAGGAGGAAUUUUAUUUCAAGACCAUUGUCCAUACUGUGCUAUGCCUUUUUCUGUAUCCUUCCAACACACCCAAACAUUAACCUCUUGAUUACAGAAAAAAAGACUUUUUAGAAACCAGGACCCCAAGGGAGGGGCUUUGGCGACAUUUAGCAUUUUCUGUCAAGGAAACGCUUUGCCAUAAGAAACUGUGGAGUGAGGUGGGGUCAGGGGGCCACCUGUGACCAAUUAUCUUCCUGGCCAGCAAGAGGGCAGGGGACUGAGUGUAAUCAGGUGUCUUCCAAGAGGUGGCAAGUGUGCCAAUCAGAUAAUUUAACUUAGUUUCUUCCCCUCUUCACACAAUUUGCCACCAUUCCCUCUGGCAUUAGUCAUUCAGCUACUGCCUCACCCACUGUAUUUUGUGUAACUCUGUAAUUUUAAUUUUGGUAUUGUACUAUACAUCCUGAUAUACAUUUUGUUUCUUAGAUUUUACUUUGCACUGAAAAAUCCACCUGUUUUUGGUAUACAUGUACCUCUGCUUCAUUAGUUGUGACUCCUGCAGAGCAUGAAACUUCACACAAACUUGUAUUCACUGCAGUACUUACUCAUUCUGGUGAUGGACAUGCAGGUUGCCCCAACUCUCUGCUGCCUGAAAUUGCUGCAAUGACUGGAUUCUAUGAAGCCACUACAGAGCUAAGCUGGAAUUUCACUGAUAGACAUUCGUAGAAGUGGGAUUGCUGGGUACUCAUCAAAAAGGCUAUACAGAAAUAAACACUUGUUUAAUGCCCAUACCGUGAAAUCUAAGACCUAGAUUGUUAAGAUUAAGAUCUUACCUUUAUUUCAUGUAGAAAUUCAUACUUGUAAGAUUUUUAGUAUGACAAAUCAAAACACAGGAAGUACACCUAACUCACACUGGUCUCAGAAAAAUUCCCAGGGGAAAGUGCCUUGAGGUAAAGCUAAAAUAAUGAGUAAACUUAUGGUAAAGAACGAAGGAUUUGGGAGAAUCAUCCAAUUGAAUGAAAAUUAGACAGCAUGAAAUGUCCUCCCAUAGUAAUUGAAUCCAUCAGCAGUGACCUAAACCUGUGAAUCCAGAGAGCUUACAUGGCUCUGUCACUCCCACAACCCUCAGAGCCUGAUUUCAGCCCUUUGGGGAGAGUUUUGAUUGGCUCUAGGGCUUUCUAAGGGAUGCAGGAUAAAUUACCUGACUUUAACACCUUCUCUGUGGAUUUUUCUGGGCCAAAUCCACAGAAGUGAAACACUAGAAACUUCCUUCUUCAGUUCUUUGAAUUCAGUUUUAAGAUCAGUGAUAUUUUUCUGUGAGGAAGCUGCCUCUCUUUUUAGUUAGACAGAGGUACAAGGCAGGAAAAGACUUUUUCUUUUCCCUUUUUUUCUGUUUCCUUAAAACACACAAGAUUGAGCUCAGGCAUUCUCUUUAUCAAACUCUUCCUGUAGCUGAAAGAGGGUCUGGCUGAUUGUCACUUGUAGAAAAAAGCCAAAAGAACAAGAAUGAGGCCGGGCGUGGUGGCUCAUGCCUGUAAUCCCAGGACUUUGGGAGGCCGAGGCGGACGGAUCACGAGGUCAGGAGUUUGAGACCAGCCUCGCCUAUAUGGUGAAACCCCGUCUCUACUAAAAAUACAAAAAUUAGCUGGGUGUGCUGGCGUGCGCCUGUACUCCCAGCUACUCAGGAGGCUCAGGCAGAAGAAUCGCUUGAACCCAGGAGGCAGGGCUGCAGUGAGCUGAGAUCGUGCCACUGCACUCCAGCCUGGGCAACAGAGUGAGACUCCAUCUCAAAAAAAAAAAAAAAAAAAAGAAAAAAAAAGGAAUGAGGUGUAAUUAAAAAUAGAGUAAGUUUUAUUAUCCAUGCUAGCAAUGGGGAGAGUGGCUGGCCAAAAUUUGCCACUCUCCAAUUUCUGGAGAGAGGCCAAGCAUUUCAAGGAGAGGAGCUUGUAAUGCAGAGGGGCAAGAGGCAGGAGGUGCCCAGUGGGUGUCUCAUUCUGAUGGCUUAUCUUGAAUUAUUGUUUCACCUGGUGAAGGGGCCAGUGACAUUGUAGGCCCAAUCAAGUUACAAAUUAAUGACAGUCAAUCUUGCAGAUAAUCUCUAGCCAAGAGUGAAUAUUGUCCUUGAAUUAAUCUCCUACUGGAGAGAGAAUUCUGGAGAUGUCUGGUCUGCAUCAGGAUUCAGCCCCUGAAGCUUCUAAGGAAAUAUAUGACCAGAUAAGUGGGCAUGGUAUGAGCUUAACAAGCAUCCAGGUAAAUAAAUGAGCAUAAGGCAUGGGGGCAUAAGAUGCGAAAGGGAAGGCAGUUUUAAUGCCCAUUCCAAGGCAGUAAUUGACGACAAAAGAAAGCACAUCUGCAGUUUGUCUCAAAGCUAUGUCUAGAAACUGGGGAGAAAGAAGAAAAGAAACAAAGUUUUUAAAACGUGGUUUGAAGCUAAGCUGCUUGGUUACCUUCCAACCUUCUGCAAGAUUUUGCUGUUUUUUGUUAUUAUUAAAACAAGUAAUAGGCCAGGCGCAGUGGCUCACACUUGUAAUCCCAGCACUGUGGGAGGCUGAGUCAGGCAGAUCACUGGAACUCAGGAGUUCGGAGGGGGAAAAAAACCAAGCCUGCGCGCUCUGAGCCCCACCCCCCAUUCCCCAUGGUGUCUGAGUAGGCUCCCAGGGCGAGCAGGAUCCCUCCUCACAGGCGAGACUGGCUUCCUUGGAAAACCAAUAGUCGGACUUGCGAGUUUUCCUCCAAGAUAAUUUUCUCAGGGACUUCUAAAUGUGGUGCUGUACGCCUAUGGUCCUAGCUACUUGGCAGGCUGAAGUCGAAGGAUUGCUUGAGCCCUGGAGGUCUAAGCUGUAGUGAGCCGAGAUCGCGGCCACUGCACUCCAGCUUGGGUGACAGAGCAAGACUCUGUCAAAACAAACAAACAAAACACACACACACACACAAUGUAAACCAGGAAUAGAAGGAAACUUCCUCAACUUGAUAAUGCCCAAUUAUGAAAAACAUACAACUAAUAUCAUUCUCAACAGCGAAAGACUGAAAAUUUUUCUCCUACAAUCAGGAAUAAUGGGUGCCCACUUUCACCAUGUUAUUCAGCACAGUAUUGGCAAGGAAAAAGUAAAAUUAUCUAUGUUCACAGAUAACAUGACUUUU